rnacentral:tRNA from 1 species
UGGUUAGAGCGCUACACUGAUAAUGUAGAGGUCGGCAGUUCAACUCUGCCUGGGACUA